UGUUCUGGCGUGGUGCACUGUGGCGAAGCAUUUGGCCACCGUGAAAGAUUUUGGCCGAGUGUCAGGCAUCACAGCACGCGCACGCGGAACUUCCAUACAGGACGUGAACAUUUGUGGUGUCGGAAUAUUUGGAAGAACAAGUUCCUCAGUUGGAAAAUUCACAUGACCCAUGAAAUGGGACCAUCAGUGGAGCAUGUGACCACCAGAGCUACCACUUUCAGACCAAGGGGCGAAAGGGUCUUGGACUGGCUUGCUGGUAUGGGUCUACAUGAAGACAACUGCUGCUUUUUCUUUGGCUUAGUUUCUUUUUUGUUUUUUAUGUUGAAUGAGGUGGACUUGCAAACUUUGUACUAUUUUCUGUGGAAAUUAUAAGAGAUUCAUUGAACAUUACCAAAGUAGCCAGAGACAUUACAGAAGAAACUUUCCACUACCCUGCAUAUACAAAGACUGCACAUAAUUUCCAGACUAAAAACUCCCUGCAGGUCUACUUGAGAGAUCAUAGGGUCAUAGAAAGAAGUGGUGGACAUUUUGGCUUUAAACUAAAAUGCUCAUUGUGUGACUUUAGACAGGCAGUCACCCUAAAGCAAUAUAUAGAUCAUCUUGGGAAGCAUCUGAGGAAUAGGGAAACUGUUCUGUCCUUUCAGUCACUGUCCUUUCCAAUCAAAUGUUUUCUCCAGUUGUACAUCACAUAAAUGUUGUGGUCACCCACAUUCUACUUUAAAAGACUUUAAGACAGAGAUUACUGUUCAGGAGUGUAAAAGGAAUGUGGAAUUGGCAGAAUGUGAAACAGCUGAAUCACAGUCAGAUGUGACUGACAAUGACUUUCAUGUGCCACUUGAGGAUAAUUCUGAUAAUGAACCAGAGUACAAUGACACCACUGAAAAAAUUCAGGAAAGGCUUGCAUUAUUACUUCUGCAAAUGCAAGCAGUCUUGCAUGUCUCCAAAUUAGCCACUCGGGAAUCAGUGAAUCAGUGAAUUUUAUGGCAUUGGUGUUUGGAUUGGUGAACUAAAUGGUCAUACAGUAAAAAAGGUACUAAGACGGAACAAUUGUAACAUUGAUGAAAACACUAUAACUUUGGUAACAGGACCCUUAAACAACCACAGUCCACUCCGCUCCAUUUCCCUGAGUGGGUGUCUGGGAUCAGAACAAAAAGGUUGUCCUAUGUCAAAAAAAAAAAAAAAAAAAAAGGUGUCAUAGGCCCAGUUGUAUAUGUUUUAGAUUUGCCAUCAAAGAAAACCUUUGUUUAUGUCCCAGUUCUAAAAACGCUGCAAAGAUUGUUAAAUAGGGGUGAUGUUAUUC